GGGCAGUGGAAGUCCGGGCAGUGCUGCUGGGCCCCAGCCGGCCUGGCCCUGCCCCCCGAGUGGGCGGGACCCAUCUCCUGGUCCUGCCCUCCAUAGCCUGAGCCCAGCAGCCUUCCUAGCAGGCGGCCGGUGCCAGCUGAUCUCCCCGGGCCAGAGUCGCGCUUCCGGUUCGGUCUGGUCUGGUCCAGCUGCGGAGAGCCCUGCCCAGGCCCUGGCUAGGCCCUGGGGCUCAGAGCCGUGGGUGCAGGGUGACAGCCAGCAGAGGAGAGGUCUUCUGCAUGGCACCUUCAGCAGAGCUGAAGAGGAACCAGCGCCCCCAGGCAGGCGGGGCUGGGGCUGAGCCCUGCGCAUCCUGAACAGCGUUGGUGCAGGACACGCAACGUUGAGGCCCAGCGCUGGGGAGUAUGAGGGGAGGAGCCGCCAGCUGGACAGGGACACAACUCGGUCUGUCAUACCUGCAGAGCCGCCGGAUCUCAAGCAGGACGUGUCCUGGGGGCGGCCUCACAGCACCGCUGAUCUGGAGCCUUCCCCAGAUGCAGGUCGAAGGCAGCUGGCCCGGCUCUGCAGCUGGACGGUUGGGUUCACACCAAGUGCUCCAGGGCCAGGAGCAGCGUCCUGGGAGACAAGGAGCUGAGAGGGACUGGGGUCAGCUUGCACGACGGUACUGAUGGACAGUGCGUGUGGCCCAGCUCAGCCAAGCGCCCAGGGCAGGAAGGAGCAGAGGCACCCGUCCCGAGCUGGGCGGGACUUGAAUGCUGGGCCCGGUGCAGACCCAGCUCCCUGUCCCAGGGGGAUCCCUGGUCCCCGGUACAGCACACACUGACUCUGCCGGGCAGGGCAGUCCUGCGAGCACAGGACAGGACUGAGGGGCUGACCAUUGGCUGGCGCAGGCCCAGGACAUCUAUGGGUUUAGCACCCACUGCGCCUCCUGCAGCAGAGGAGAGGACACCGAGAUCCUGAACACGGCCAUCCUCACGGGCAAGACAGUGGCCAUGCCGGUGAGGGUGGUGUCGGUGGAGGAGCAUGGAGCGGUGACAGACGUCUCGGAGCAGGUGGAAUGCGUGUCCACAGAUGAGGAUGUCAUCAAGGUCUCUGGCCACUGCGACUACAUCUUCGUCAACGGCAGGGAAGUGAAGGGAAAGACAGACGUGGCGGUGAACUUUGUGUUCCGGCACCUGAGCGCCCCGCUGCAGGUCACCGUGUGGGCACCGCGGCUGCCCCUGCACAUCGACGUCUCAGACACGGAGCUCAGCCAGAUCAAGGGCUGGCGCGUCCCUCUGGCAGCCAGCGGGAGGUGAGCGGGCGAGGCCCAGCUGCAGCAGAGCAGACCACCAGGGGGGCCGGGCCGGGCCAGUCCAAGCGGAUCCCUGAGUCAUCCCCAGGUCCCCUCGGGGUCCCCAUGUCCCCUUCAGGGUCCCCAUAUCCUCCCCAGAGUCCCCAUGUCC
rnacentral:lncRNA from 1 species